rnacentral:rRNA from 1 species
AUGGUCGUCGAGCUCCAGCCCAUCCUCGGCGUUCAGGAGGGCACCCUCCUACGCUUCUCGUCCGACGUCGGGGAGUGGGUCAGCAAGGGCAUCCACAUCCCGCUUCCAUUCCGGCAGUUGGCCCCCAACGGCGCGGUCUCGUACUACGGGAGGCUCUGGUGGGUCGACCUCUCCUGGUGCCUCCUCACCUGCGACCCCUUCGAGGACGCGCCGGUGCUGAGGGUCGUCCCUCUACCGCCGGGCAAGGUGCUCGAAAGCAGGGAGGGCUGGGGAUUUCUCGACAAGUACCGCUGCGUCCGUGUCAGCGGCGGCAAGCUGCGGUUCGUCGACAUGUACCGGAACCGUAACAGCCGCGGCGCUGCGCAGAUCAGCGUCUGGACGCUCGCCGAUCCGGACUCCACAGAGUGGACGCUGGAGUACGAGGCCACCUUUGCGGAGAUCUGCAACGACGCGAGCUACAAGGCGACUGGUCUGCCAAGGAAGAUCCCGGUGCUUGGGCUCAUCCAUCCCACCAACCCUGACGUGGUCUACUUCUUCCUCGACAAGCAUCUGCUCGGUAUCGACAUGGGUGCUCGCAAGGUUGUGGAGUGUGAGAUCUACGAGCUGGUUGCCCCGCCUAGCAAGCACGUGUGUACCCGUUUCCUUCACGCUUGGCAGCUGCCACGGGCUCUCAGCUGCUCAGGUUGUUGA